GAUGAAGAACGUAGCGAAAUGCGAUAAGUAAUGUGAAUUGCAGAAUUCAGUGAAUCAUCGAAUCUUUGAACGCACAUUGCGCCCGCCAGUAUUCUGGCGGGCAUGCCUGUCCGAGCGUCAUUUCAACCCUCGAACCCCUCCGGGGGGUCGGCGUUGGGGACCUCGGGAGCCCCUAAGACGGGAUCCCGGCCCCGAAAUACAGUGGCGGUCUCGCCGCAGCCUCUCCUGAGCAGUAGUUUGCACAACUCGCACCGGGAGCGCGGCGCGUCCACGUCCGUAAAACACCCAACUUCUGAAAUGUUGACCUCGGAUCAGGUAGGAAUACCCGCUGAACUUAAGCAUAUCAAUAAGCGGAGGA
rnacentral:misc_RNA from 1 species